rnacentral:rRNA from 1 species
UACGUAGGGGGCAAGCGUUGUCCGGAUUUAUUGGGCGUAAAGAGCGUGUAGGCGGCCAUGUAGGUCCGUUGUGAAAACUCGAGGCUCAACCUCGAGACGCCGAUGGAAACCAUGUGGCUAGAGUCCGGAAGAGGAGAGUGGAAUUCCUGGUGUAGCGGUGAAAUGCGCAGAUAUCAGGAAGAACACCCGUGGCGAAGGCGGCUC